rnacentral:rRNA from 1 species
UACGUAGGGUGCGAGCGUUGUCCGGAAUUAUUGGGCGUAAAGAGCUCGUAGGCGGUUUUGUCGCGUCUGCUGUGAAAACGCGAGGCUCAACCUCGCGCCUGCAGUGGGUACGGGCAGACUAGAGUGCGGUAGGGGAGAUUGGAAUUCCUGGUGUAGCGGUGGAAUGCGCAGAUAUCAGGAGGAACACCGAUGGCGAAGGCAGAUCUCUGGGCCGUAACUGACGCUGGAGGAGCGAAAGCCGUGGGGAGCGAACAGG